rnacentral:rRNA from 1 species
UACGGGGGGGGCAAGCGUUGUUGCGGAAUUACUGGGCGUUAAAGGGCUACGUAGGUGGCCAACUAAGUCAGACGUGAAAUCCCCAGGCUCAACUUGGGAACUGCGUCUGAUACUGGAUGGCUUGAAUUCGGGAGAGGGAUGCAGAAUUCCAGGUGUAGCGGUGAAAUGCGUAGAUAUCUGGAGGAAUACCGGUGGCGAAGGCGGCAUCCUGGACCGAGAUUGACACUGAUGAGCGGAAAGCUAGGG